AGUGAACGCUGGCGGUAGGCCUAACACAUGCAAGUCGAACGGCAGCACAGUAAGAGCUUGCUCUUACGGGUGGCGAGUGGCGGACGGGUGAGGAAUACAUCGGAAUCUACUUUUUCGUGGGGGAUCACGUAGGGAAACUUACGCUAAUACCGCAUACGACCUACGAGUGAAAGCAGGGGAUCUUCGGACCUUGCGCGAGUGAAUGAGCCGAUGUCGGAUUAGCUAGUUGGCGGGGUAAAGGCCCACCAAGGCGACGAUCCGUAGCUGGGCUGAGAGGAUGAUCAGCCACACUGGAACUGAGACACGGUCCAGACUCCUACGGGAGGCAGCAGUGGGGAAUAUUGGACAAUGGGCGCAAGCCUGAUCCAGCCAUACCGCGUGGGUGAAGAAGGCCUUCGGGUUGUAAAGCCCUUUUGUUGGGAAAGAAAAGCAGCAGGUUAAUACCCCGCUGUUCUGACGGUACCCAAAGAAUAAGCACCGGCUAACUUCGUG
rnacentral:rRNA from 1 species